ensembl:lncRNA
GUAAGGGACCCUGUUACUCUCUGCCCCGGGUAUGGAGGAGCUGCGUCCUGGAGACCAGAGUGUUUGCCGCUGUCCUCAUCUUUCCUGGCAAGGUCCUGGUCCAAAUCUUUCUACUAUCGUGUUCCUCAGACCAGGGGCCGGAGGGAAGACCUGACCCUUCGGGAAUCUGGGCUCCUCUCCGGAGUGGGGAGGGCUGAGGGUUGUUCUGGAAUAGGCAAUUGCUGCUGCCGGUGAUCCUAUUUGCAUGCCAAUGGCAGAGCCUACAGGAUUUAGCUGAAGGGCUGGCCAGUCUGAGUUUGCAGCUCUCCACUUUGUCCACAAAUAAAGGAUCUCACCCCACGCACCACACAAUCACCCCAGCUUUCGUCCCGGGGUUCGCGUUGGAGCUGCCAGCUCAGCGGACCCGGCGGCUGCAACUGGAGGGACCUCGUUCUCUGGAAAGUGGGCACCUGCGAGCGCCCAGUAGCGUGAGUGGCCAGUUGGUUUCCACUGAAGAGGACAGGAAAGAGAUGCUGUAGACCGAAGGGAGGAAGAACAGAACUUAUACUGUAAGAUCCUUGCACUGUGCCUGUCCUGUCUUUAAGCCAACUGAUCAUGGACUGAAUCACCUAAAAACUGACCCUGUGCUCACAAAGAGGAGAAAUAGCAAAAAUAACAGAAGUGUCAACAGUGGCUACUGUUGUCCUACUGCCUGACUUCUCUUGAAUGUCUUGGUGCUUGCUGGGGUUCCAGAAGGAAAGGUCAAACAGAGGGUGUCAGUCCAUAUAUCUGUGCAUCACCGAUGGGCUUCACAUGCUUACAGCCUGACCAUUAGCAGUGUGGUAAAAACUUAAGGAAAGCAAAAGGGAGGAAACCGCCCCAGGCCAACUCCUCACCUGUGGACUGCACACUAAUCACCUCCAAGCUCUGUUUUGUUUCCCCUCAGCACUUGGCAGCGGAGGCUCCAACCAAGAAGCACACUGACAGUGGACUAGACCAACUGACUUGAGAGAAGGUACGUCCUGGAGGAUGGCAACUCCAGGGAGAAGUAACAGACUUGGCCAGGAGCUCCAGAUCCAGCAAAACCCCAAGUUAUGGUAAACUAGAACAGCCCAGGGUUUCACUUAAAAUGUGACUUCUUCACAGCAGGUUAGAAUUGGAGAAGAAACCCAGUGCGGUGUCCACCAUAUUUCCAGAGUAAUAAUCAGGUCUCAUUUGGAGAAAGCGUUGUGAAGACUGCGUCACAGAGCAACUCGACUUCAGUGAUUCCAGCAUUACUUUCUUACAGAGACUGGCUGAGAGACAGUCACAGGAGACAGCCUCAGGGUGGGUGGGAACUGGACAUACAGCCCUGAGGAUUUUAAACUCUGGCCAGGAAGGACAUGGGCCCUGUCCUCUCUGGAGAGAAAAUAGGCACUGUGAUUGGGGCUUCCAGAGAGGCAGGAUCUGUCUACUGGAACCACCCGCCUACUGUCUACAUCUAGAGAGAUUAGUGGUCUAAUUGUUUUCCCCAUGUACAAAUGUGAACAACAGAUAUGAGUCAUCUUGGAUGGUUGCCACAUUCUGGGGUGUACAGACACAGGGAUGGAUCCCUGGAGCAGAAACGGGGCACCUCACAAACCCAUAGACCAUAAAGCUAAGCGGAGAAAAGGAUGACUUGCUGGAUUCAAAGACUAAAAACCCUAGAAAGAACCAUACAUUCAAAAAAAGAGACAAAAAAUAAUUGGCUCAAUUUUGUUUUCCUAUUUAUUUCCGUCAUUGAUUUGUGGGAGUCUUAUUUCUUUAUCCUAAUUUCUUUUUCUUUUCUUCUUUAUUUUCUUUUCUUUUCUCCUUCAGUUCCUUUUUUUAAGGUUCAUUUUCUUCUUUUAUUUGGCUUUCUGAUUUUUUCCUUUUCCUUCUUAUUCAUAUUUUUUUACUUUUAUCUAAUGUUAUUAAUUUCCUUUUGUCCCUCAAGAAAAUCCUUUAUUACACUUUUCUCCCCUACUUCUCAUCUUCUGUUAAUUUUUUAAAUUCUUUUUUUCAUUCUCAUUUCCCAU